GACGAACCGUGCGAACGUUAUUCGGAAUCACUGGGCUUAAAGAGCGCGUAGGCGGAUUGCCGCGUCGGAGUCUGAAAUCCCCCGGCUCAACCGGGGAACUGGAUCCGAAACGGGCAGUCUCGAGGGACGUAGGGGGGGCUGGAACUUCCGGUGGAGCGGUGAAAUGCGUUGAGAUCGGAAGGAACGCCCGUGGCGAAAGCGAGCCCCUGGACGUCUGCUGACGCUGAGGCGCGAAAGCUAGGGGAGCGAACGGG
rnacentral:rRNA from 1 species